AUCACAACACAACUCUAGACACAAAAUGAAAUAAUACAAGCUUCAUAUUACAAGUCAGGGGCCUCAAGGGCUCGAAUACAAGCUCGAUACACAAGAGAGUCAGCGGAAGCAACAAUAUCUGAGCACAGACAUAAUUUAAACAAGGAUGCCUUAAGAAGGCAAACACAAAAGCAACACGAUCGAAGAGGCAAGGCCUCCUGCCUGGGACCUCCUAACUACUCCUGGUCGGCGGCGGCCUCCAUGUAGUAUCAUCCAUCGGUGGUGGCAUUUGGCUCCAGGGACGCAUCAUCUGGUUGCAUCAACCGGAAAGAAGAAAGAAGGGGUAAAAGGGGUAGCAAAGCAACCGUGAGUACUCAUCCAAAGUACUCGCAAGCAUCAGAUCUAUACUAAGUAUGCACUGGUAUCAAAUGGAAGGCUUGUAUCUGUGGACUGAACUAUAGAAUGCCAGAAUAGAGGGGAAGGCCUAGCCUAUCAAAGACUAGCAUCUUCAAGCAGCUCCAAGCAUCUUGCAGCAUGUAGAAGAGUAAAGAAUGGCAGUUUAUAAUUGUCAAACAUGUUGUAAAAUCAACGGCCAGAGAUCCUUCCUCGACUCCCUGUGAGAAAGCAAUCUCGGAUCCACAUAUCUCAAGUAUCCAUUUCUAGUUAUAUAAGAUCAGGAUAUAAGUCUGAACGUCCAUUACCGCGGACGCGGCAUUCAAAUAUAUAUCUUCCCUGCAGGGGUGCACCACGUUACCCAACACGCUCGAUCACUCUGGCCAGACACACCUUUCUGGGGGUCAAUGCUCGGCCUCGAAAGAUCAACACGUCGCAGCCCUACCUAGGCUCAGCAGAGAGGUCCCCGCCGGUCUACAUCCUAAGUGCUCUAGGGUCUUAGGCCCAUCGCCUGCAACACUCCGGGUCGUUGCGAGCAGGGUGAUUACCAGCACCACCUCGGAUGGCCAGCACGAUCCGACCGUGCCGCACUGCUGAACUGGACAUCUAACAAAGCUUCGGCUGAUACUGCGACGUCGAGGCCCAUAUCUAUUCUCGCGUGGUGGUUGGUGCGUAAAGGCCAGAGGCCAACUCAGAACAAAUACCCAAACCUGUUAGUGCAUUGGGGGCUCGCGGAAACGAGCAGAGACUCACGAUAAGGUGACCUCGUCGCCCCGUCUCAUGGACUUACGGCAAGGGCCCAGACUGCCCGGUCGUGCCAUGUGAAAAACUCACGGGUGCUCAAUGGCCCGCUCGACUUUCACAUCAACUCGCGGGUACUCCUCAGGGCCGACCCGACUUCAACAAUGGUCUCAAGUAAAGUCAAGGUAACCGUGUGUCCAAAUAUCAAGGGGAAAACCCGAGAAAUCACCCACGGAGGAUUCCACUCGAUGUAACCAUCAACGUGAGCGUAAGAGGAUCCACCCUCGAGGUUCACACUUGAGGUGUUGCACGACAGAGUCGUAUCGGGAAAAGUGAAAGAGGAACCACCCUCGAUGACCACGACCGAAUAGCUACACUACAGAAUUAUCAUCAGGAGUGCGUUACGAGGGAUCACCCUCGACACUCGAUAGUAGCUCUGCAGAGUCGAGCAACUAAAGGGGCGUGAUGUGAUGUGAGGUGUCAGGCUCUGGUCAUCGAUCACGUUGAUCGAGUCAUCGAAGAUGAAGCAGGGGCAACAAGGACAAGAUGGGGGUCAUUGAUGGCUCACUGACCAACCUAUACUAAGCAGUUUAGGAUAAGCAGGUAAGGUACAAUGAGUAGGUUAGAAAAGCAGGCUAUGCAUCAAAAUAGGAGCAAACAAUAACAAUAGCAAAAUUUAAUGCAAACAUGAGAGAAUGGAAUGGGCGAUAUCGGGAUGAUCAAAGGGGGGGCUUGCCUGGAAGCUCCGCUGAAAGGGAAGAAGGGUCGUUGUCGACGUAGUCAAUCAUAGGGGCAUCAGCAACGGUCUCGGGUUCUACCGGAGAGAAGAGGGGAAAGAAACAGUACAUACAAAGAACAUAGAUGCAUGACAAGACAAAAAGCAGCGCUAGGGGUGUUCUAACGCAGUGCUUGGCGAUAUUGGCGAAGGGGGAAAACAUCCGGAAAAGUUUCUCGGUUCCGGACGUUUGUCAGACAGAUGAACCGGAGGGGAAAAGUUCAAGGUUUGUUAUGCUAGGGACGUGUGGAGGACGAACGGACCGCAUGUUCGGAUCCAUCUCGUUGUUCUGAGCAACUUUCAUAUAGAAAACUUUUUCAUCCGAGCUACGGUUUAUUUUAAAUAAUUUUUUAAAGAUUUAAAGAAUAUCCUCAAUUUGUUAUUAAUCCGAAUUAAAUAGCUAAAAUGCUAUGUGCACCUAGAUCUGUGUACACAAAGGUGUACAAGAGGGUGACAUGCGGGUCCAGGGAGUCCCUUUCAUGUACUCACCUAACUAAUUACUGAUUAGGUAGUUUAAUUAGCAGAUUAAGUUAAUUAAGUUUAUUUAAUAGGAUAAUUAGUUAAUUAAUUAUAUUUCUAAAAUCUUCUUUUUUAAUUUCUCAGGGGCGUGGGCCCAUGAGCCAGUGGCCCAGGCGGGUUUAGCGGGCACGGCUAAACGGGUGCGGGCGCCCGAGGCCACCAAGGGCGCUGCUGGGCUCGCACGGCCGUACAAGGCGUCGGCAGCCGCAGCCAGAGGCGCGCCCGAGCGACCUAGGAAGGGAGCGGCGGGACAAGGGCGUAACCGGCCAGCCGGCAGCGUGGGCGCGGAUGGCGAGUAGGGGAAACGCGGCGCGGGCGGCGACAGCAAUGGCGCAGUAGCAGCAGCCAGAGCAGAAGCCAGCGGCAGUGGGCACGCAACGAGCGGGCAGAGGCGGCGUGCAGGCAGGGGAACGGCGGCCGCGGCUGGAGCCGGAGGCGCGGGUUGGUGCGGUGGCCAGCGGCGAGCGCAGCCCCAGGGAGAGGCUAGGCGUGCGUGCCGCGGUCAGGAUGCGACAGGGGAGCCCGGGGUGCGGUCGACGGUUGGUGAGCGUGAGAUCGACGGCAGUGGCUUACGACGGCCUACGAAAUGGAUUCGAGAGGGGGAGGAGGGGAAUCGAACAGGAGCUCACUGCCGUUGCAGGGACGGCCCGAGGACGACUCUAGGUGGCCGGACGCGUCGCGCUCGUCGACGAGAUGCGGCUGCCGUGGCGGAGAAGACCGCGCGAUGGCGAGGUAGUAGGUCGUCCGAGCUCCAACCGAUAGGCGAGGGCGACGGAGACGACGAUGGCGGAGUUCCUCGACGUCUUGGCGCGACGAAUGGAGGCCGGUGGCCGCGGGAUCGACGACGAUGACGAUGACCGCGAGCUCGGUCUCUUCCAGUUCAUCGGAUAUGAGCGAGGGAGAGCGGGAUUUGGAGACUUGGGUUACCA
rnacentral:lncRNA from 1 species